rnacentral:rRNA from 1 species
AGGACGAACGCUGGCGGCGUGCUUAACACAUGCAAGUCGAGCGGUAAGGCCUUUCGGGGUACACGAGCGGCGAACGGGUGAGUAACACGUGGGUGAUCUGCCCUGCACUUCGGGAUAAGCCUGGGAAACUGGGUCUAAUACCGGAUAUGACCUCCUAUCGCAUGGGUGGGUGGUGGAAAGAUUUAGUCGGUGCAGGAUCGGGCCCGCGGCCUAUCGAGUCUUGGUUGGUGGGGGUAAUCGGGCCUACCGAAGGCGUACGGACGGGUAGCCCGACCGUUGACGGAGGGUCGACCGGCACGACGUGGACUGACGACACCGGACCCAGACCU